AGCGAACGCUGGCGGCAGGCUUAACACAUGCAAGUCGAGCGCCCCGCAAGGGGAGCGGCAGACGGGUGAGUAACACGUGGGCACGUGCCUUUUGGCUCGGAACAACCCAGGGAAACUUGGGCUAAUACCGGAUAAGCCCUUACGGGGAAAGAGUUAUCGCCAAAAGAUCGGCCCGCGUCUGAGUGGCUGGUUGGUGGGGUAAUGGCCAACCAAGGCUACGAUCAGUUGCUGGUCUGAGAGGAUUAUCAGCCACAUUGGGACUGAGACACGGCCCAAACUCCUACGGGAGGCAGAAGUGCGAGAUGUUGGACAAUGGGGGCAACCUGAUUCCAGCCAGGCCGCGUGAGUGAUGAAGCCCUUAGGGUUGUAAAGCUCUUUUAGCAGGGAAGAUACUGGCGGUACCCGCAGAACAAGCCCCGGCUAACUGCGUGGCAGCCGCCGCAGUAA
rnacentral:rRNA from 1 species